rnacentral:rRNA from 1 species
GGGAAUCUUCCACAAUGGACGCAAGUCUGAUGGAGCAACGCCGCGUGAGUGAAGAAGGUCUUCGGAUCGUAAAGCUCUGUUGUUGGUGAAGAAGGAUAGAGGCAGUAACUGGUCUUUAUUUGACGGUAAUCAACCAGAAAGUCACGGCUAACUACGUGCCAGCAGCCGCGGUAAUACGUAGGUGGCAAGCGUUGUCCGGAUUUAUUGGGCGUAAAGCGAGCGCAGGCGGAAUGAUAAGUCUGAUGUGAAAGCCCACGGCUCAACCGUGGAACUGCAUCGGAAACUGUCAUUCUUGAGUGCAGAAGAGGAGAGUGGAACUCCAUGUGUAGCGGUGGAAUGCGUAGAUAUAUGGAAGAACACCAGUGGCGAAGGCGGCUCUCUGGUCUGCAACUGACGCUGAGGCUCGAAAGCAUGGGUAGCGAACAGGAUUAGAUACCCUGGUAGUCCAUGCCGUAAACGAUGAGCGCUAGGUGUUGGGGACUUUCCGGUCCUCAGUGCCGCAGCAAACGCAUUAAGCGCUCCGCCUGGGGAGUACGACCGCAAGGUUGAAAC